GAUGAACGCUGGCGGCGUGCCUAACACAUGCAAGUCGAACGGGAAUAGGAUGAAACCUAGUGAUUCCUAUUCUAGUGGCGGACGGGUGAGUAACGCGUGGGUAACCUGCCUUGCACUGGGGGAUAACACUUAGAAAUAGGUGCUAAUACCGCAUAAGCGCACAGAACCGCAUGGUUCGGUGUGAAAAACUCCGGUGGUGUAAGAGGGACCCGCGUCUGAUUAGCUGGUUGGUGAGGUAACGGCUCACCAAGGCAACGAUCAGUAGCCGGCCUGAGAGGGUGAACGGCCACAUUGGGACUGAGACACGGCCCAA
rnacentral:rRNA from 1 species